GGGUUUCUUUCGGCCUGGCUCAGUGGUUAGAGCAUCUGCUGGGCAGGCAGGAGGUCCUAGGUUCAAUGCCCCCGUAUGAAACCCU